AGCUAGUGUCCGCAGCAGCUCUGAGGUGCUCCGCUAACCACUAAGUUCUCGCUAGAGAGUAGGCCGCAAGCUUAUACUCAAAGAAAUGACGGGGGUCGCACAAGCUUCGAGCAUGUGCUUAAUUCGAAGCAACGCGCAGACCAUUACCUAUCCUUGACAUUUCAAUCGCGAUUCCAGAGAUGGAUUCUUCAGUUAGGCUGGAUCGGACACAGGUGCUGCAUUCUGUCGUCAGCUCUUGUCGUGAGAUGUUGGGUUAAUUCCCGCAACGAGAGCUAUUCUCGCCGUUAGUUGCCAGCAGGUUUGGCGGGGCACUCUAACGGGACCGCCGGUGUCAAGCCGGAGGAAGGUGGGGAUGACGUCAAGGCCUCAUUGGGCUUACGGGUAGGGCCACACACGUGCUACAAUGGCAGUGACAGAGAGCUAAUCUCUAAAAACUGUCUCAGUUCGGAUUGUCUUCUGCAACUCGAAGGCAUGAAGUUGGAAUCGCUAGUAAUCGCGGAUCAGCAUGCCGCGGUGAAUACGUUCCCGGGCCUUGUACACACCGCCCGUCACACCAUGGGAGUUGGUUCUACCCGAAGAUGGUGCGCUAACCUUUUGGAAGCAGCCAGCCACGGUAGGAUCAGCGACUGGGGUGAA
rnacentral:rRNA from 1 species